rnacentral:ncRNA from 1 species
GGCAAUCGAAGGACGGCAUAGCCGACCUUCACCUCCCUGUUGGACUAGGCCGGGCCAUGUGCCCGGCUUUUUUU